UGCGCCAUUGGCUGCUGUGGAGCAGCCAUUCACACCCAGUGUGAUCAAUGAUCCUGCAGCGACCGAGCAGUGGAGAGUCCCCCAUCACCCCGCAUCAUCAUCAUCAUCAUCAUCAUCAUCAUCAUAGAGGGCAUUUGUUGAUCCACACCCGCCUUUAAGGCAUCAGCUGAGUCCAACAUGAGCAAUGUCCAUUUACCGAGACAAAAAUGGACAUAUGCGGGGCCACCAAGGUGUGAAAAAGUGAGCGUUAGACAAUGUCUGACUUCUGAUCCCAAAAGUUUUCUAUCCUGCGUUUUCUCUCCAUCCAGUGAAUCUCCCUCCCGUUGAGCCCGUCAGAACAGCCUGCACAUGAAACAACAACGGGAGGAAAUUGAAAGAGAAAGGAAAAAAAAAACCCCGUCGUGGCAGGAGAGGACCAGUGCACGGGGUUGUCAAGCAAAACAGUUUGAAAUAUUUCUCGCAAAAAGGACAGAGUGUCAGAGUUCUCCCUCGCUGAGAUGGAACCCCAGCUGCGGCGAUAUAUGAACCCAAAGAGCAACGGUGAGGUUCACUGCCUUACGACUGCAUUUAUUCACUUUAUCCUCUCAUGGGUUCAUUUUCAGAUUCAUUAGGCUUGAGCUAUUUUCACCCACAAAUGUCAGGUAAUGGGUGUCAGGGAUUUAAUGCUCGUAGGCCCUGGAUUUUGUGAAGAGUUUAGUUCAGGUAGACACAAACUCUCUCUGGAAUCAUGUGCUCUCAGCUCCAUCAUUAUUUGUGUUUUGUGUCGCACCAGGCAGCUCUCUUUGGCUUCUUACUGUUAAGAAAUGAACCCAAUCGCUUUCUCUUGGAAUUAUAAUUAUAAUAAUACUCCUAAAGAGUGACCAAGUGUUAUGAAUUUCCCUCACAAUGGAGCAGGUGCUAGUUUGGGCCUUUGGUGACAUAAUACAACGAAUGUGGCUCCAAGUUAAAACAGCGUUUGAACCUAGCCUUUUCCUAUUGUAUUGCACCCUGUGUUGUAUUUUACUGUUUUAUUUGUUAUUUCAAAGUUACGACAGGGUUUUUGACUUUUUGACUUAAGACUGUUACUUUUAAUUCCACCCUGUUCUAUUGUUGUGUUUGCUUUUUUAAAUUUUAUUUUCCCUUUGUCACUUUGCAAUCCUUGUAUGGAAGAUGCUAUACAAAUAAAGUGUAUGAUUAUUAUUAUUAUUA